CGAAUGGGGAAACCCAGUGUGAUUCGUCACACUAUCAUUAACUGAAUCCAUAGGUUAAUGAGGCGAACCGGGGGAACUGAAACAUCUAAGUACCCCGAGGAAAAGAAAUCAACCGAGAUUCCCCCAGUAGCGGCGAGCGAACGGGGAGGAGCCCAGAGCCUGAAUCAGCAUGUGUGUUAGUGGAAGCGUCUGGAAAGGCGCGCGAUACAGGGUGACAGCCCCGUACACAAAAGCGCAUGUGCUGUGAGCUCGAUGAGUAGGGCGGGACACGUGGUAUCCUGUCUGAAUAUGGGGGGACCAUCCUCCAAGGCUAAAUACUCCUGACUGACCGAUAGUGAACCAGUACCGUGAGGGAAAGGCGAAAAGAACCCCGGCGAGGGGAGUGAAAAAGAACCUGAAACCGUGUACGUACAAGCAGUGGGAGCACCCUUUGGGUGUGACUGCGUACCUUUUGUAUAAUGGGUCAGCGACUUAUAUUCUGUAGCAAGGUUAACCGAAUAGGGGAGCCGGAGGGAAACCGAGUCUUAACCGGGCGUUAAGUUGCAGGGUAUAGACCCGAAACCCGGUGAUCUAGCCAUGGGCAGGUUGAAGGUUGGGUAACACUAACUGGAGGACCGAACCGACUAAUGUUGAAAAAUUAGCGGAUGACCUGUGGCUGGGGGUGAAAGGCCAAUCAAACCGGGAGAUAGCUGGUUCUCCCCGAAAGCUAUUUAGGUAGCGCCUCGUGAAUUCAUCUCCGGGGGUAGAGCACUGUUUCGGCUAGGGGGCCAUCCCGGCUUACCAACCCGAUGCAAACUGCGAAUACCGGAGAAUGUUAUCACGGGAGACACACGGCGGGUGCUAACGUCCGUCGUGAAGAGGGAAACAACCCAGACCGCCAGCUAAGGUCCCAAAGUCAUGGUUAAGUGGGAAACGAUGUGGGAAGGCCCAGACAGCCAGGAUGUUGGCUUAGAAGCAGCCAUCAUUUAAAGAAAGCGUAAUAGCUCACUGGUCGAGUCGGCCUGCGCGGAAGAUGUAACGGGGCUAAACCAUGCACCGAAGCUGCGGCAGCGACACUGUGUGUUGUUGGGUAGGGGAGCGUUCUGUAAGCCUGUGAAGGUGUGUCGUGAGGCAUGCUGGAGGUAUCAGAAGUGCGAAUGCUGACAUAAGUAACGAUAAAGCGGGUGAAAAGCCCGCUCGCCGGAAGACCAAGGGUUCCUGUCCAACGUUAAUCGGGGCAGGGUGAGUCGACCCCUAAGGCGAGGCCGAAAGGCGUAGUCGAUGGGAAACGGGUUAAUAUUCCCGUACUUGGUGUUACUGCGAAGGGGGGACGGAGAAGGCUAUGUUGGCCGGGCGACGGUUGUCCCGGUUUAAGCGUGUAGGUGUGUGUUCCAGGUAAAUCCGGUUCACUUUAACACUGAGGCGUGACGACGAGGCACUACGGUGCUGAAGCAACAAAUGCCCUGCUUCCAGGAAAA
rnacentral:rRNA from 1 species